UCAGGGAUUUCCCCGUCACUCAUUGGUCAGGUGAUGUGUCAGUCUGCCAUUAGUGACCAAUCAGAGUUCCCCUUCAGUCUUCCCCCCAGCAACCUAUAAGCAGUGACCUGCGGGGGGCGGGAUCAGGAGUGAGAGGACAGAGCAGGACACUGGAGGCUCCUGUGGUUCCUACAAUAUAGGAUCCGCUCAGUGGAGAUCUUCUAUAUAAGAACCUUCUCCUGAUUGACCUGUCAAGGAUGGACAGGGACAGGGACAAGAUGGCGGAGAGUAUAAUAAAUCUUACCCUAGAGAUCCUCUUCCGGCUUACUGGAGAGGACUACACAGUAGCGAAGAAGACCUCUAGUGAGCGCUGUCAGGACCCUGUGUCUGAAG